UUUGUAUUACGUGCGGAAAUUGUUACCAUUUUUGAACCGAAAAUGGUAACAAUUUCCGCACGUAAUUACGU
rnacentral:miRNA from 1 species